rnacentral:rRNA from 1 species
CAAUAGCGUAUAUUAAAGUUGUUGCAGUUAAAAAGCUCGUAGUUGGAUUUCUGGUAGGAGUGACCGUGCCAGACUUGAUUGUCUGUGUAUCGUGUUGUCUCCAGCCAUCCUUGUGGAGAACUUUUCUUGCAUUAAUUUGUAGGGAUUGGGACCCGCAUCGUUUACUGUGAAAAAAUUAGAGUGUUUAAAGCAGGCAAUCGCUUGAAUACAUUAGCAUGGAAUAAUAAGAUAGGACUUUGGUACUAUUUUGUUGGUUUGUAUACCAAAUUAAUGAUCAACAGGAACAGUUUGAGGAUAUUCGUAUGAACAUGUCAGAGGUGAAAUUCUUGGAUUUUGAUCAGACGAACUACUGCGAAAGCAUUUAUCAAGGAUGUUUUCAUUAA